AUGCACGCUGGCGGCGUGCCUAAUACCUGCAAGUCGCGCGAACAGACGAGGAGCUUGCUCCUUCGACGUUAGCGGCGGACGGGUGAGUAACACGUAGGUAACCUACCUAUAAGACUGGGAUAACUUCGGGAAACCGGAGCUAAUACCGGAUAAUAUUUCGAACCGCAUGGUUCGAUAGUGAAAGAUGGCUUUGCUAUCACUUAUAGAUGGACCUGCGCCGUAUUAGCUAGUUGGUAAGGUAACGGCUUACCAAGGCAACGAUACGUAGCCGACCUGAGAGGGUGAUGCGCCACACUGGAACUGAGACACGGUCCAGACUCCUACGGGAGGCAGCAGUAGGGAAUCUUCCGCAAUGGGCGAAAGCCUGACGGAGCAACGCCGCGUGAGUGAUGAAGGUCUUCGGAUCGUAAAACUCUGUUAUUAGGGAAGAACAAACGUGUAAGUAACUGUGCACGUCUUGACGGUACCUAAUCAGAAAGCCACGGCUAACUACGUG
rnacentral:rRNA from 1 species